AGCGAACGCUGGCGGCAUGCUUAACACAUGCAAGUCGCACGGGUCGGCUUCGGCCGGUCAGUGGCGGACGGGUGAGGAACGAGUAGGGAUCUGUCCUCUGGUGGGGGAUAACCGCGGGAAACUGCGGCUAAGACCGCAUGGGGCGCCGGUGUGAGAGCCGGUGUCAAAGGCGCGCAUCGCGUGGUGUGUGUGGCCGGGGGGUGGGCCUGCGUCCGAUUAGCUGGUUGGCUGGGUUGUGGCCCGCCCAGGCGGCGACCGGGAGCUGGGCGGAGCGGGGGCCCAGCCAGACUGGGACUGAGACACGGACCAGACUCCGACGGGAGGGAGCAGUGGGGAAUGUUGGACAAGGGGGGCAAGCCUGAUCCAGCAAUGCCGGGUGGGUGGAGAAGGUCGUCGGAUUGUAAAGCCCUUUCGGCGGGGACGAUGGUGACGGUACCCGCAGAAGAAGCCCCGGCUAACUUCGUG
rnacentral:rRNA from 1 species